UUUGGUAUUUUCUAUUCUGCUUAGUUAGGACUAAGUCGGCAUAUUAGUCUUUCGACGAUAGUCAGCUUUUACAAUGAAGAGAAAACAUUGAGAACUGAAGUAUAAUCGAUGAUUCGACUUUUACGUUGAAAGUCUGUGUAGUCGAUGUCGGUUAAGAUUGCAGUCGGUAUGUCAAUUUUUGCAUGAGAAUCGAAAUACAGUCAUCACUG
rnacentral:lncRNA from 1 species